rnacentral:rRNA from 1 species
AGCUCCAAUAGCGUAUAUUAAAGUUGUUGCAGUUAAAAAGCUCGUAGUCGGAUUUUGGUACCAAGCCGAACGGUCUGCCGAACGGUAUGAACUGUUUAGCGGGUACUUCCUUCCGGAAGCCCGUGCUCUCCUUAAUUGAAGGGCACGGUGAGUCCGGAUCAUUUACUUUGAAAAAAUUAGAGUGUUCAAAGCAGGCCUAUGCUCUGAAUAGCUUAGCAUGGAAUAAUAGAAUAGGACUUCGGUACUAUUUUGUUGGUUUCUAGGACCGAAGUAAUGAUUAAUAGGGACAGUUGGGGGCAUUUAUAUUCCAUUGUCAGAGGUGAAAUUCUUGGAUUAACGGAAGAUAAACUACUGCGAAAGCAUCUGCCAAGGAUGUUUUCA